rnacentral:rRNA from 1 species
UACGAAGGGGGCUAGCGUUGCUCGGAAUCACUGGGCGUAAAGGGCGCGUAGGCGGAUCUUUAAGUCGGGGGUGAAAGCCCAGGGCUCAACCCUGGAAUUGCCUUCGAUACUGAAGAUCUCGAGACCGGAAGAGGUAAGUGGAACUGCGAGUGUAGAGGUGAAAUUCGUAGAUAUUCGCAAGAACACCAGUGGCGAAGGCGGCUCUCUAGUACGGUACUGACGCUGAGACGCGAAAGCGUGGGGAGCGAACAGG